AUUAAUACAGAGGCUGCUUCCUCCAGUCGUGUUAAUAGAUAUUCUCUGAGACAGAUCCUACACAAAGAUCAGAUCCUGAUUCUGGAGACGUCAGGCAGCUUUGAAAUGUGAGCCCAAACCGUGAGGAGAUUGAGACCAGUAGAAGGCACAUGGAGAGUGGACCAGCUAUUGUUCCUGAGUAAUUCAAUGACUAGGACCCAUUGGACUUCAGAUACAUAUGUAUGUAUCUUAUCAGUCUUCCUUGAGGAAAGUGGUGUCUGUCCUACAGCCUGAGAAAAAGGACUGCCUUGUGGAAUGCUUCCAUUUGGUGGAUCUCCAGAUGGAGUAUGCCAGCUUGGAAUUCAGCAUCUGUUUAGAGAUGGAAUUAACUACCUGUUAAUAGGAGCACAAGUCUUCAGUCUUCUGAGGGAAACUGAAGGGGUUAGUACAGCUGGAGUUUAAGUGCCUCACCUUGGGGAAACCAUCUUUGUGAAUAUGGUGCAUCUCUGAUGGAAACUAAAUAUUGAUCUACACGGAUCAAGACUGAUCUAGCAUGGCUCUUCUAAUGUUGGCACUUUUGUGGAUGAAUACCACUGGGAGUUAAGGACUUGCUGUGACUCUCACUCUUACUUAUAGGAGUUUUGCCUGCAGCAGUCACAUAGUUGAAAAAUACAGAUUCAUGUGACUGCUAAGAGACCACUGAGAAGCCAAGAAUACAUCAAGCACUCUUGUGCCUUCAGGAUAUGGUUGACAGCACUGCACAAGUGUGACUGAGAUCCCGAUAAGCAAGUGAAAUGACAUGGAUGCAUAAGUUUACCGAAAACAGAACUAAGAGAAUUUUGCUGGUGUGACAGAUGGAACAAAACUUCGGUGACUAUGGAUUGAGAAUGCUUUGGCAUCUAUUACCGGUUUGAUGAUCACUUUUGUGACACUUCUAUUUGAAUGGGGCCCCUGAUAACACUGAUGCAGAGGAAGAGUCCGGUUCAGGUAGAGGUACUAGGUACCCAGGGCCAUUUGGAAACCACUAGCAGAUGACUAACAAUCAGGGAAGCCUGGGAAAGACCACUCGGUCCUGCCAAAGGGUCUGAACCAGGCCCUUUUGCUGCAGUCAUUCCUUGCAACUUUCCUGCUAACACCGCACCUGAUUUCCUUUAGUGGCUCCUGGGUGGGGAUGUUCAGGGCUGAGUUGAAGCCUGCAAGCAGAUACACCUUUCUCCUACCACAUGCAUCGACUGGCUUCCUCAGACUGCGGCCAGGUUGGUUGGGUCCAGCAAUGCAAAGAUCGUGAUGCAACGUAACACAAAGUGAUAUCUGGCUGCUGAAUUAUCCUGCUCUCCAGUAUCUGCGCUGACUUGUGAGCCUCACAGCUUUAGGCCUGUCCGCCACCAGGAGUUCACCUAUGCAAAUUUGCUACAAGAAAAUGAGGUCUAUAAAUAAUAGACACCUUGGGCCUGCACGUCAGUACAAGGUUUAUGGUUAAAAUCACUGUUGUCCCAGCCACUAGCUUGUUAAGAGUCACUCACUAAAUUAAGAAUUCUGCAAGUUUAGAGAUGGUGCAAACCCACUGAGCCAACAUUCGAUCCGGUUGUUUCAACCGGUGUCUGAGACGAGGCCCAGGCACAAACAGCAGCCGGCUGCGCUCCGUGCUGAGCUGCAGGAGACCUGGCUCCAAGGCACAGUUGCACCAUGACCAGAAGAGCUGCAGCAUGCCAUGGCUGUUCCACCCCCGGAGACCCCCACGUGUUAAUGUUGCUUGCAGUGCCAUCGCCGCAGAGGAAACGGCAGCUUCCCUUCCCAAGAGUACCCACAGCGUGCUUGGAACUGGGUGACUCCUGAAGAAGUGAGUCUAAUCCUGUUCAAAGAGAGACUGCAACCAGAAAGGACUUUCUCUCUUGAUCAAAGACUGUCGGGGAAUCCAUGACCAUGUUUUCCCAAAUGGGUGGCUCCCAAGGCAUGCGGUGGCAGGGUCAGAGCCUCUCCUAUAACUCUGUUGUUUGGCACUUGCCAUAUCUCCUGGACCCAAAGCUCACAGAAUCCAUCUCAUCUUCUUUUCUCAAAUUGAUUUUUGUUGUUCGUGUGGGAGUCUUGUUGGCCUGGGGGUAGAAGCAGCAAUGUCGUUGUUUUGCCGUGGAAGAGAAAGCAGUCCUAACCCCAGGCCAGGUUAAAGCCCCUACAACACAUUUGAAUUCACUGGGUCAGAUGGCACUUGUCCAGUAAAUGAGGAUAUUGCGUGCUCA